rnacentral:rRNA from 1 species
GACGAACGCUGGCGGCGUGCUUAAUACAUGCAAGUCGAGCGAGGUUACUGUUUCGGAUCCCUUCGGGGUGAAGAAGCUUUAACCUAGCGGCGGACGGGUGAGUAACGCGUGGGUAACCUACCCCAAAGUCCGGGAUAACAGCGGGAAACCGCUGCUAAUACCGGAUGCCUUUACCUUGGGGGCAUCUUGAGGUAAAGAAAGGUAACGCUUUGGGAUGGGCCCGCGUCCCAUUAGCUAGUUGGUGAGGUAACGGCUCACCAAGGCGACGAUGGGUAGCCGGCCUGAGAGGGUGGACGGCCACACUGGGACUGAGACACGGCCCAGACUCCUACGGGAGGCAGCAGUAGGGAAUAUUGCGCAAUGGACGGAAGUCUGACGCAGCGACGCCGCGUGAGCGAUGAAGGUCUUCGGAUCGUAAAGCUCUGUCCUUGGGGAAGAAGGCGAAAGCUUGACGGUACCCAAGAAGAAAGCCCCGGCUAACUACGUG